GCUUAGCUCUGCCAGAAGUUAGAAAAGAGGCUGUUUGUCUGAAGAGACGAGGGUGUGGUAAAAAUAUGCUGUGCCAGUCAAGUCGACCAAAAUACUAUCUGAAUUACGAAGCAAGCUGGAAAACAAAACUUAACAGGAGAUCUGGACCCCACCUGUGACCUCCCAGAAGGGAUGGAGAGAAAAGGACUCCUGGGACCUGCACACGCACAGCUCCCUGCAGGGAAUUCUGCUGUUGGCUUACUUUCUGCAAUCAAAGCAGAAGGGAACAGGAAGGAAUAGUCUAUGCUCAAGUUUUUGCUACUGGACCAUCUUCAUCCCUGAUAUGGCAUCUGCACUACGAAAUUGCCUCUGAAUGAAUGGGAAUUUGGGUGUCCUCACCUCCUGGAGACAGGACACAACUUCCAGACUGAAUUAGCCUCAGUUGGAUAGUUUUUGAAAUCUCCCCAAGUAACAGACCUAGAAGAUUUUUCCCUCAUGGUGGUCUGGGCUGGACAUUUGGUGGGCUGUCUCUGACAGAAGAAUACAGUUCAUCAAAAGUGUCUGCAGGUUGUCAAACUCGGUGAGAUUUGGGGACACUCGGAGGCUGUCAUGGCCAACAAGAAGAUUUUCUGUAGGGUUCUGCCAUCAUUCACCCUCAGGAAAUAAUCACUCACUACAUUCUGCAUGCUCUCAUGAUAGAGCUCUAUUUGAGAGAAAAGAGCCAUUUUAUCAAAGGACAAUAUAUCCCUUCUCUUGGUCCACGCAGCUUCCAUUAUCAGACCAUAAUAAAUCAUAUUUAUGUUCUCAGUUAAUAAGACUGAUUACAAUGCAGGUUACAGGCAUGGGAAAAGCAAAGCAGGUGAAAAGAUGUUUUAAUGAAAAUAUGAUAAGCAAACAGCUUCUUGUGAACAUUUCAGGCUGUUAUUUGUAAUGAUCACAGGCAAUUUUUGAUACAUCUUCUUUAGCAAUGGUUUAAGCUGCAUAAAUUGGCUUGCCACUUUAUACGUUGAAAUAGGACGAAUCCCAGUGUCCUUCUUAUGUUGUCUAGAAUCAUUAUAUACAUUAUAAGCAUAAAAUGAGUUUAAUGUAUGUGCUUUGAAAAGAAGGGGAAAACAGAAAAUCAGGGAAGACUGAUUUUAAUGCUGCUCAAAAUGAUUUUGAAAUUUUCUACUCAUCUUUGUUACUAACGGUGCAUUUUCCAUGAAAUUUAGGAGUGACAUGUACUGCUUUCAUCUCCUUAAAAUUAAUAUACUGCUCUUUCUGUUUUCCUCAAUUUCUUCAAAGUUCUUUUUAGAACACUGUGCAAAGAGACAGAGAAAUUUGCCACUCGAUGUGUGAGCAUCUCUGCUAUUAAUGCUGGGGGGAGUUAAGUGUGCUUCUGGAGGAGAAUAUACCCCUGUGUUAAAUACUGAAAGGAAACCUGUUAAAAAGGUGCAAGGAUGUUUAGCUGCAGCACAUGUAAUGUGUUCAAGGGCCAAAUUCCCUAGGAUCUUUUUAGGUGAUUAAGAUUUUUUUUGUUAAGGCAAGAGUUCUCCUAUGGUUUCAGCACAUAACUGUACCUAAGUAGCAGAUGAAACAUCCUGCUCUCAUCUUGUGAAAAGUCUUUUUUUUUUUUUUUAAUGUUCAGCCUCAUACUUUCAAGACAAAGUAAGAAGUUUAAUAAUUUCCUUGCAGCACUUGCAUAACACUGGUGACAAAGUCUCCGUGAAGUUGUGUGUCUGCAGGAACUGCUCUGGUCACAGGUAUUUCCAAAGUCACUCUUAAACAUGUUUUAAAGCUUUGUAAUUGGCCUAGCACUGAAGAAUGAUCAUGAAAUGCCUUUAACCCUUUUAGGGCACUUCAACAGGAGAAGUGAUCACACAAGAAACAGUAAACUGCUCUUCAAAGGCAAUAUUCUGAUAUGACAACAGACAUAGAUAAUGCUCGUCAUGAUGGAACUGCUUGAUACAGAGAAAAACAUGUUGUAACUGCCUUCACCGUGAAAGGGGUUUAAAAAUGUUGCCUGACAACUCCACAAAAACCAGGGCUGCUAUUUCAGUUAAAGGCCAGUGGAUUGUAUUUUGCACGUCAGUUUUCACUAACCUCAAACAUCACUGUUAUGACAGACUGUCAUCCAACCAAACCGGCAGUAUGGUGCCAUUCAAGCAAGCAGGAAGAAAGCAAACAUGAAGGAAACUUAAAAGUCCAAUUAGUAAGCUGGGGGUGUAUGUGAGUGAACUACUCUUGUGCAUUGAUACUGAUUACUGAAAAUGAAACACUUAAAAGAAAAUAAACAAAAAAGUGCUUUCUGAGCCA
ensembl:lncRNA